UACGGGGGGGGCAAGCGUUGUUCGGAAUUACUGGGCGUAAAGGGCUCGUAGGUGGCCAACUAAGUCAGACGUGAAAUCCCUCGGCUUAACCGGGGAACUGCGUCUGAUACUGGAUGGCUUGAGUUCGGGAGAGGGAUGCGGAAUUCCAGGUGUAGCGGUGAAAUGCGCAGAUAUCAGGAGGAACACCAAUGGCGAAGGCAGCUCGCUGGGACGUGACUGACGCUGAGACGCGAAAGCGUGGGGAGCAAACAGG
rnacentral:rRNA from 1 species